rnacentral:rRNA from 1 species
GACGAACGCUGGCGGCGUGCUUAACACAUGCAAGUCGAACGGAAAGGCCCUGCUUUUGUGGGGUGCUCGAGUGGCGAACGGGUGAGUAACACGUGAGUAACCUGCCCUUGACUUUGGGAUAACUUCAGGAAACUGGGGCUAAUACCGGAUAGGAGCUCCUGCUGCAUGGUGGGGGUUGGAAAGUUUCGGCGGUUGGGGCUGGACUCGCGGCUUAUCAGCUUGUUGGUGGGGUAGUGGCUUACCAAGGCUUUGACGGGUAGCCGGCCUGAGCGGGUGACCGGCCACAUUGGGACUAAGAUACGGCCCAGACUCCUACGGGAGGCAGCAGUGGGGAAUAUUGCACAAUGGGCGGAAGCCUGAUGCAGCAACGCCGCGUGCGGGAUGACGGCCUUCGGGUUGUAAACCGCUUUCGCCUGUGACGAAGCGUGAGUGACGGUAAUGGGUAAAGAAGCACCGGCUAACUACGUG